GGGCGGUGACAUGUCAUAUGUCCUGCUGCUGUUGCAUCUCCUGCCUUCUGCUCCAGGGAGGAAGAAGACUAAGAUCAGUCCAACAGAGGCUGGUGACAGACUUGUGCAUUACCAUAAGUCCUGCACCAGUAUUGAAGGCCGUCUCAGCAGGAGGUAGGGCCACCAGCCAUUCUUACUGAGAUCAGGAAGGAUUAAGGGCAGGAUCAACCACUUUUACGUCGUUGUGGACAAGCGCCUCAUCCCUUGCGUUGGAACCAGCUCCUUGAGUGCCUUUGAACUUUUUAAAGUUCACUGUCUUCAACCUGUCCUACAAGGAAGCCCUGGUGUCUAAAGCCAACAGCUUGUUCUACAGGCCUUUUGAUCUGCAGUAUUUAUAUGGGUCAGAUGAUGGUGAAUAUAUUGUAUCUUUUGUGUUGGUGUAAUAGUUACAUCUGUGUUAAAAAUAAAAUUUCAAACUGA